rnacentral:rRNA from 1 species
AAAUUGAAGAGUUUGAUCAUGGCUCAGAUUGAACGCUGGCGGCAGGCCUAACACAUGCAAGUCGAACGGUAACAGGAAUCAGCUUGCUGAUUCGCUGACGAGUGGCGGACGGGUGAGUAAUGUCUGGGAAACUGCCUGAUGGAGGGGGGAUAACUACUGGAAACGGUAGCUAAUACCGCAUAAUGUCGCAAGACCAAAGAGGGGGACCUUCGGGCCUCUUGCCAUCGGAUGUGCCCAGAUGGGAUUAGCUUGUUGGUGGGGUAACGGCUCACC